CUGUCCUCCUAUCUCUUUAUCUGCCCACUUUUCUUUCAGAGUCAGCCACUGUGUCUGUCUGGAGACACGGUGUCAGAGCAGGCAGGGUUCAGCACCUGAGAAGACGCAAGGUCAAAGAAAAACUGAGCUGGCAAACAAGAUGUGACAAGAAAGGGUGAGUAUAAGAAAUUAAGGUUAGUGAGAGUUGUAGAAUAUGUUAUCAUUUGUCUUAUUUAAGCGUAUAUGUCUUAUAAUAAAGAAGAAUACACUA